GGGGUGUGAUGCUAAGCAUGUGAGCUUGUCUUGGGAGUGUUUUUGAUGCUUCUGGGGUGGGUGAGUGUGUGAACCGAUCAUGUAGUAGGCAAGCUGCGGAGGGACGCAGUGAGGUAGCUCAUCCCCGGUGAUGGUUGUCCGGGGCUAAGUGUGUGGACUGUCUGGUAGGUAAAUCCGCUGGGCGUGAAGGUUGAGGCAUGAUGGGGAGCCCAUGGUUGUGGGUGAGUGAGUGAUCCUGUACUGUCGAGAAAAGCUUCGUGAGCGAGGUGGCGGGUCCGCCCGUACCCUAAACCGACACUGGUGGAUAGGUAGAGUAUACCGAGGCGAUCGAGUGAAUCGUGGUGAAGGAACUCGGCAAAAUGCCCCCGUAACUUUGGGAUAAGGGGGACCUGAGCUGUCGUGCACCCGUGCGGUGUGGUGGCGGUGAGGGGCGCAGAGUCCAGGGGGAAACGACUGUUUACCAAAAACACAGGUCCGUGCGAAGUCGUAAGACGAUGUAUACGGACUGACUCCUGCCCGGUGCUGGAAGGUUAAGGGGAACUGUGAGUGUAUGCGUAGCGGUGAACUUAAGCCCCAGUAAACGGCGGUGGUAACUAUAACCAUCCUAAGGUAGCGAAAUUCCUUGUCGGGUAAGUUCCGACCUGCACGAAUGGAGUAACGAUUUCCCUACUGUCUCCACCAUGAACUCGGUGAAAUUGCAUUACGAGUAAAGAUGCUCGUUACGCGCAGCAGGACGGAAAGACCCCGGGACCUUUACUAUAGUUUGGUAUUGGUGAUUGGGACGGUUUGUGUAGGAUAGGUGGGAGACGUUGAUGCGGCCACGCUAGUGGUGGUGGAGUCGUUGGUGAAAUACCACUCUGAUUGUUCUGGUUAUCUCACUGUGGACCGUGAUCCGGUUCAAGGACAGUGCCUGAUGGGUAGUUUGAC
rnacentral:rRNA from 1 species